rnacentral:rRNA from 1 species
GACGAACGCUGGCGGCGUGGAUUAGGCAUGCAAGUCGAACGGUAUCAUCCUUUCGGGGGUGAGAGAGUGGCGAACUGGUGAGUAACACGUAGGUUAUCUACCCUCAAGACGGGGACAACCCAGGGAAACUUGGGCUAAUACCGGAUGUGAGCAACUUUUAGUUGUUUGAAAGGUGGCGUAAGCUGUCGCUUGGGGAUGAGCCUGCGUCCUAUUAGUUAGUUGGUGAGGUAACGGCUCACCUAGGCAAUGAUAGGUAGGCGGCCUUAACGGGUGGUCGCCCACACUGGGAUUGAGAUACGGCCCAGACUCCUACGGGAGGCAGCAGUCGAGAAUAGUCUACAAUGGUCGGAAGACUGAUAGUGCGACGCCGCGUGAACGAUGAAUCCCUUCGGGGUUAAAGUUCUUUUAUAUGUGAGCAGUGCUUCUUAUAUUAACAGUAUGGGGAGAGAGAUAUUAGCAUAUGAAUAAGCAACGGCUAACUCCGUGCCAGCAGCCGCGGU